AAAAUAAAAAUAUGAACACACUUAUUCUACCAAAAUUAGGUCACUGGAAUAGUGAUUUCUGCACCGACCUUUAGACUUAUUUUAUGUUUGUUUAUUUUAUAUGUGUUGAAUGUUUGUGUUUUUUUUGUUUAUUAAUUUAAUAAA